UACGUAGGGGGCAAGCGUUGUCCGGAAUUAUUGGGCGUAAAGAGCGUGUAGGCGGCCAGAUAAGUCCGCUGUGAAAUCUCGAGGCUCAACUUCGAGCUGUCGGUGGAAACUAUCUGGCUAGAGUCCGGAAGAGGAGAAUGGAAUUCCUGGUGUAGCGGUGAAAUGCGCAGAUAUCAGGAAGAACACCCGUGGCGAAGGCGGCUCUCUGGGACGGUACUGACGCUGAGACGCGAAAAGCGUGGGGG
rnacentral:rRNA from 1 species